rfam:Populus trichocarpa scaffold_5_contig_124, whole genome shotgun sequence.
CUACUUACCUGGACGGGAUCAAUGGGCGAUCAACAAGGCUCAUGGUCUAGAUUAGUGACCUCCAUUGCACUUAGGAGGGGUGCUCGUCUAAGGUCUCCCCAAGCUGGGAGAGUCUACGUCAAAAUUUGUGGUAGAGGGGGCUGCGCAAGUCGCGGCCCCUG